AUGGCGCAACCUAAUGUCAAACUUAUAUGCUGGAAUGUGCGUGGACUAAAUGCCCCUGCCCGUCGCGACGCCGUGAGGGACCUCGUCCGAGAUUGCAAGGCCACAAUUGUUUGCCUCCAGGAGACUAAGCUUGAUCACGUCGAUGAUGUUUUGAUUACAAGCAUGCUCGGACCCUCCUUUACUGCAAACUACAAGGUCCUCCCGGCUGUUGGCUCUAGGGGGGGCAUGAUAACGGCUGUCUCUGACUGUUACUUCAGUCUUUCGGACUUCCACGCUUCGUAAAGAACUAUCUCUGCCACCGUGACCAUGCUGGCUGAGGGCCUCGACUGGACACUGUCUUGCGUUUAUGGCCCUCAGGGAGAACAAGAGAAGCUUCUGUUCAUCAACGAUCUCAAAGAGCUGAAGUAUGUUGUCAAGCCACGAUGGCUCAUUCUUGGUGAUUUCAACCUCAUCACCAGAGCGGCUGACAAGAACAACCAAAACAUCAAUAACCGCCUCAUGGGUAGUUUCCGUUCUGCGCUAAAUCACCUACAGCUAAAAGAGAUUCGACUGUCAGGCAGAAAAUUCACUUGGUCAAAUGCUCAAGUGAAUCCAGUGCUCACAAAGAUAGAUCAUUUCUUCCACUCGGACGACUGGGAUGUUUUUCCCCAAUGCGCACCUUCAAGCCAUCUCGUCGGCCUGCUCGGAUCAUGCCCCGUUAUUCCUCCUUGGGGAUACGGAGGUAUGUCGGCGUCCAUCUUUCAAGUUUGA
rnacentral:rRNA from 1 species